UCCACACUUUUGCAUUUUCAACACUCUCUCACUAUCUCUCUCUCCCGUUUUCCCUUUUCUCUCUCUAAACCCCACAAACCCUAAAACCUCUCAUUCUUCAUAAUUUACGUAACUAUCUUCUUCAUUCUCUCUCCAAAGCACAUGAUUGAAGAUGAGUGUGCCGAAAGGGUGCAGAAUAGGUGAAUGGAAGUUUCACGAUGGCUGGUGAGUGUGAAAGUCGAAGUGAAUGGAGAAGGGGUGGUUUUCGUUAACAAUCCGAGGGUAAGCACAUGUUGUCAUGUAUGUGUUAAACGACGAUGGAGUUGUAGGAAGGGUGGUGCCGAGAAGCUUCGUCCGGAAUCGACGGAGGAAAUGGGCAUUGAGGUGGGCUGCGAUUUUCUCUCUUUGUUCUCGAAUCUCCCUUCAACCUGUAAGCAACAUUGAAACAAUAACAAGAAAAAAUGAUGAUGUUCUUAUUUAUUUCCUUAUGUUAUUUUCCCUUUGUGUUGUUGAAUUUGGUGUUGGAAUGCAUUAAAAACUUUUAAUCUUAAUUGCAGGAACCACAAAGACUCAAUUGUGCUAAUUAUUAAGGAUAAAGAUCGUUAUAUAUAUAUGUAGGAUAUGCUUCUCAACAAUGGGUCUCUAUAUUGCUUUUCAAUUUACGUUUAUUUUGAAUUAAUGCUUGACACACAUUCUUAUGACCCUUUUUAUUUUAGUCUUAUGACCUAUUCUUUGAAGUUAAUGUUUGGCUAGAUACACUGUUUCUUGUAGUUAAGUUUUGUCUCUUUCAUGGAAUCACUAUGGUUGGGACAAGGUAAUAUAGUAACAUUUAUAUAGUCAUGCUACAGCCAUUGGUUAACAAAUAGAAUCAUGUCUACAAUAGAAUCAUAGCAGGUCUAACUUUUCCUUGGAUCUAGCCAUAGCAGCCAGGUUGCUUAUUGAUCCUCAAGCUUAGUAGGAGAGAAUCUAUUAUAACCUGCAUGAAGAGUUCAACAUAAUUUGUCUUGUCAUAAUUCUAAUUGUUGUUAACAUUCUAACUUAGGUUCCAUAAUUAAGUUAUUAAUAUUCAUGGCAGAGUUAUACAAGCUGCAAGUUUGGUACUUUUCUCUGCAGAAAGACGUUACCUCGGUAUUGUGGCGGUAGUGGGUUUUCUUCCAUUUGUUUAAUCUGAUAUGUUGUUGUUCUGUUAUUUUCUUCUGUUAGUUAGGGAUUUGGAUUUCGAACCCUAAUUUUGAUGAAUUAUGUUUUAUGUGAAAUCUUCAGUAAAUGAUAGGCCCUCAUUCAAGUCUAUUGGUUGAAUAUUUUCAUGUAUGCUCAAACCCAAAGCAAAGUAGUUAGUUUCUUCUAUUCUGGCCAUAUGCAAAUGAUCAUCUUAUUUCCUAAAUGGUGGGUUUGGUGCUACUAGAUUUUUCCUAUAAUAAUUAUGUUCAGAAAAUUCCAAAAUGGAGGGUUUGGCAUGUCUGGAAGAUUGUAUAUGCAAAGGAUGGAUCUGUCAAGGAACGCCAAGAAGUCGUUGCAAGUUUAAAGGUUGAUCUUAAAGGUGAAACCAUUCUAUCGAACUUCCUUUAAUGAUUGGCUUCAAGGACAUUUAUUUUCUCGAAAGCAGCCAUUUGUCUUGGUACAACGUAAAUAUCAUAAUUCUUCUGAUACUGUAUGGUUGGACUUGCACUUUUGGCUUUAGAAACGUAGUUCAUUCCUAUGAGGACAAAGCGGCGCCUGGAUCUCACAUGACAAGACUUACUGCUCUUAAUGUACAUGUUCUCAGUAAAAUUCAUUCUUCGUUCUCAAAUUUUGCCAUUAGAUAGUGCCAUGCUUAGACUAUGACAAUUGACAAAUACUAUUGGAAAGGUUCCUCCCAUGGGAUUGGUAUAUUUUUCAACUGUACCGACAUCACUAUUAGAUUAGUAUUAUUAUUUAUGGUUAUGAAAUUGGUUUGAUUUUGCGAUUUUGAGAUAUCCUGUUUACAUACCACUUGGCUAAUUACUUAUCUGAUUGUUUCAUUGUAAAUUUGUAAUGCAAAGUCUGGCACAAAGACUGAAAUUUACAAAGUCUGGCACAAAGACCAUUGAUGAUAUAAUUUUGUUGUUGUCUUUCAUGGCACCAACAUUGUGUUUGAAUUAAUGCAAUGCAUUUUUGUUUCUCUUCCAGAUGCAUGAUAAUUUUGUGACUGUACAAAUAUUCAAUAUUAUAAUGGCAAAAUUUGCAUUGGUAAACUAUGUACUCAGAUAUUAAGUCUACUUAUAACUUUGUAUACACUGUUGGGGAACUUGUAUAGAGGCUGAGCCUAUAAUUUACAACCCAUAAUUUCACAGCCUAUCACCUGGAAGUAUAAUGGCUGAGCCUGAGAAGCAACUGUUCAUGUCACCAGCACAAGAUGGUGUAAUGGCAUCAUUGAGAUGAGUCCAGUUUAUGAGAUCUUUGGAUAUAGAAUGAGCCCAUAUCAUUGUGUUACCAAAGGUUGCUUCAUCAUGGUUAUAUUGGUAGAAGAUGGUAAACUCCUUUGUAGUACAAUGGUCCUGUCAUACAAAAAUUAUGACUCAUUUAACUUUAGAUUAAUUUGUAACAUAUGAGAGAUUCUUAACUAAAUAAAGGUUAGUUUAUACCAUUAGGAUCUGCAUGAUGAAGUGAGUUUUUGUCAACAAAUCGCGUCAAAUGAUACAGAAAAAUGUUAGAUGUAUAACAUAUUACACAUGUUCAAAAAGUAAAUGAAAAAAUAAGUGCUUUUACCAUGCAUCCAAUUUUUUGGGGUCUGGAAGUGGUACCAUGUUCUGUAUGGCUGUUCUGAAUUGAUAUGUUUGAGGAUGCACCAUUCUUUGUAAUGUUCUCCAUGAUGAUUUAUAGAGCUAAUGUUAUAGGGAUAUGUUAUCAACAGGAACAAGAUUGCAAAUUUGGUUUGGUUUGAUCAAGGACCAAUAUAUAUAAUACAAUAUUUUAUUGAACUUAAUUAGUCUUGACUUCCAUAAUCUUUAUAACAAACACAUAGGAAA